ACCACCCUUCCUGGUGAUGCUCCUAACAGCCCUAUCACUACAGAGGCACCUGCACCUGCACCUUCCUCCGCUAACACCCUAGUUGGGUCCUUGGCCGGAGCUUCACUCGUGUCUUUCUUGGCCCUUUACAUGUAAAUGAGUACUCAAUCAAUACUAGAGGAAGGAGGAUAGGGGAUGAAGGCUAUAGGUCUUGUUUGGGUUUAAACACAUAAUGCAGUCCUCCAGUUUUAUAUUAAUUACAGUUUACCUUCUGAAUUAUGAUGGCAUUUUCCAAUUCAUACAUAAGUUCAUCAUUUUCAUUUGUGUACCAGAAUUUAGCUCCAUUAACAAACUUUCAUACCUGCCUUGGUCAGCUUGUUGAUGUGUCAAACUGUCGAUUAAUUAACUUUUGAGGUUACAAUUAACUGUUUCGAUGGCCACGGCCAGAUAAAAGAAUAUGUAAAAAAGAGAAUUAUAUAAAAAUUUAAAAUCUAUUAAUAUAUCAUACUUACUUCCCGAGAAUUAGUUAUGGUUAUGGAAGCCAAACGAAAGAAAAGAACAUCACGUACAAAUGAAGUCAUGAAAGGUAGAACGAGGAAUACAAGAUUCUCGUGUAAGGUUUUGCGUGUGGAGCCUUAUAUUUAUGUUUGAAUCUCGUUGACGUUAAAUCUAAUCUAUUAGUAAUGAUAAAGAAAAAAAGGAAACGUUUUAAGAUGAUUUCUCAACAUAGAUUAGAUCAGUCUGUGAACCUAAAAGUUUGAGAAAAAUUAUAGUUUCAAUAAAUAAAAUAUAGAAUGAGGUUUAGAUCAAGACAAUGUCUUUAAUCAGUUUAAUGUCUCGAAUGAUCUUGAGCAGUAUCCAAGAGGGGCUAAUCAUUCUAUUAACAUCAUAUAUUACCAGUUCAUUAUACAUCAUACAUCAUUCUAUCCCUUAAUCAUUUAGCAACACCCAACAAAAAUUCAUGGUUUCUGAAAACAUAUCCUUUUGCAACCAAGUUCCCUCCAACCGAGCAUUAAAAUUAAUCUUGAUGUGCCUAUCCAGAGCAGAGACCCCCACCUUAUGAUGGUAGUAGUGGUUUAGUUAACUCUCUCCUCAACAACAUCAUCAAUGAACUGGAUAUUUCUUUAUUGGACUGGCAGACCCGCUAGAUAGAAUGAGACAACCAUUGAGGGUUAAUUGGACUGCUUGUGAUCCACAACCUUAAUUAAGAGGAUUCUAGGGUUGGGGAUCCUUAUUCUUUUGUGUCAACUCAAUACGUACAUGUCUACCGGUUAAUUUUUAUAAUCCAUUGGUUUUGUCUAUUAUUAAUACAAUUGACCUAGCUUCCUAGAAAAAUAACAUGUCGCGUACACCAUAGUUUGAUAUCUUGUCUUUCUAAUCUACAUUAUAUUUUCUGAAAAUUCUGAUAACAAAGUAGCAAGAGGUACAUUUUCUACUUUUCUAAGCAUCGGACGUUGUAUUCGUGUGUAGGUGAUUUUGACAUUGUUGAUUAGUUUGUUGCAUAUGCACCCAUAUAAGGCGUAAUUGGCAAGGCGUUGUUCAUGCAGAUUCAUACGCACGGACAACCCUAGCUUCCUCAUUUCACAACAAACUCGAACAAACCAGAACCACAUAAUCUUCAAAUCCCGCAACUGAAUCAUUCCAAUAAUAGCCAAAACCCUCCAUAACUAUAGCUAUAUAUACCUUCCAUCCCCACCCCAUUUUCCUCAGGACGCAUUUGCAGAAUAACCCACAAAGGCAAAAACAAUCCAACACCCGUGUGAUCGGUUGACACAUUCUCUCUUAAGAGCUUUCCCGUCGACCGAUCGCAUACACAUAUCAAUCAUCAUGGACAUGAAGAAGAUUGCCUUUGUCGUCCUUGUCGCCGCCGUCUGUAUGUCCGCAGUUAUGGCGGCCGUGCCCAAGUCCAAGGCAGGUGCAAAUCCCUUAACCGCGACAGUUGGUGCCGCUGCCCCGGCUCCUGACGCAGCAGCCCCUGCUCCUGACUCAUCUGCACCUGCACCUGCAGCUUCCUCCGCCAACACCGUAGUUGGUUCCUUGGCCGGAGCUGCGUUCGUGUCCUUCUUGGCCCUUUACGUCCAGUAAGUGACUCAAUCAACACUAGAGGUUUGAAGGAGAAGGAGAUGAAGGCUAACAAUUUAUUUGGGGUUAAACACAUGUGUAGUCCUCCAUUUGUAUGCAUGCAUGUCUUAUUUUCAGGGUGUGUGCGUGUGAAUCGUGUGAUAUGUACCCCAAUAAAUGAAUCAAAAUAGUUUUUCGCGUGCGAAUAUGGAUUGUUCUUGGAUUUAUUUUCAUCAUUUUUCAGUCCCGUAAUUAUGAUUCUUGUAAUAAUCACACAAAAUAAAACCACGAGCACAAAAUGAGUGAAUUUAU
rnacentral:lncRNA from 1 species